AGAGUUUGAUCCUGGCUCAGAACGAACGCGUGGCGGCAGGCUUAACACAUGCAAGUCGAACGGUUGUAGCAAUACAGCAGUGGCGCACGGGUGAGUAACGCGUGGAUAUCUGCCUUUUGGUUCGGAAUAACUCCGGGAAACUGGAGCUAAUACCGGAUGGUUCCUACGGGAUAAAGAUUUAUCGCCAAAAGAUGAGUCCGCGUACGAUUAGCUAGUUGGUGGGGUAAUGGCCCACCAAGGCGACGAUCGUUAGCUGGUCUGAGAGGACGAUCAGCCACACUGGGACUGAGACACGGCCCAGACUCCUACGGGAGGCAGCAGUGGGGAAUAUUGGACAAUGGGGGCAACCCUGAUCCAGCCAUGCCGCGUGAGUGAUGAAGGCCUUCGGGUUGUAAAGCUCUUUUGGCGGGGACGAUGAUGACGGUACCCGCAGAAUAAGCCCCGGCUAACUUCGUGCCAGCAGCCGCGGUAAGACGAAGGGGGCUAGCGUUGUUCGGAAUUACUGGGCGUAAAGCGAGUGUAGGUGGUUGUCAUAGUCAGGUGUGAAAGCCUUGAGCUCAACUCAAGAAAUGCACUUGAUACUGGGCGACUAGAGGACCGGAGAGGAUAGUGGAAUUCCCAGUGUAGUGGUGAAAUACGUAGAGAUUGGGAAGAACACCAGUGGCGAAGGCGGCUAUCUGGACGGUUACUGACACUAAGACUCGAAAGCGUGGGGAGCAAACAGGAUAGAUACCCUGUAGUC
rnacentral:rRNA from 1 species